GUCCAUGUCGUUAGUAUUGCCGCUUUAUGCUCUUUUGUCUUUCACAGGCAGGUUCGUAGGCGAAUGUCAGAAAUUUGCGACAAGACUAAUAUAUCACACUGUAAAUAUUGUCGCCGGUGUUCAGGACAUGUUGCCAUAAUCAUCCCUUUAAAUGGAUCAGUCCCUUGAGAUUACAACAGUAUAAAGUGCUUUCGCCAAAAACCGAUAUCAAAGAAACGCUUUUAUCCUGGCAGGGGCCUUUGUUAAUGAUUCGUUCUUUCCCGUGUUGAGGUGAUGUAUAGGCAGAAAGUACUUCGUUUCAUUUUGCCGCCCGCAAUAAUAUAAAAUGAAACAGAGAUAGCAAAGGCUAGGCAGUUUGUAAAAAGUUCUGCAUCUGCUGUCCACAAUUGCCUUUGAGCUGGAGGAUGAAGGCCCAAGCUGUUGUAGUUUUUGCCGCUCUUCUUCUUCUCACAACUUUAAUUGCUGAAAGUAAUUGCUGGAGUACACCUUUUCCAGAGGGGAAAAGAAAGUUGGAGUUUGAGAGAGCCGCAAGUAGCGUUUGUGAAAUGGCUAGACGUAUUGGAUGCGGGGGGAUGGAGGGGAGAGUCUUUGAAGAAAAGAAAUAGUGAUGUAUACGUGAAAGAGUGACUGCGCUAAUACUACACGAAGAUCAUUCAGUCAAAAUAGGACAGGAACCUUACUAUGUUAUGGAGGAUUACCGUGAUUAAGAAAUUAAAGGAUUAAACCUGUG